rnacentral:rRNA from 1 species
CAAGAUUAAGCCAUGCAUGUCUAAGCACAAGCUUAAACAAAGUGAAGCCGCGAAUAGCUCAUUACAACAGCCAUUGUUUACUUGAUCUUGAAAUCCUACUUGGAUAACUGUGGUAAUUCUAGAGCUAAUACACGCAACCAAGCUCUGACCCUUCGGGGGACGAGUGCAUUUAUUAGAACAAAACCAAACGGACCUCGGUCCGCCCAUUGGUGAAUCUGAAUAACUCAGCAGAUCGCACGGUCUUGCACCGGCGACGCAUCUUUCAAGUGUCUGCCUUAUCAACUGUUGAUGGUAGUUUAUGCGACUACCAUGGUUGUAACGGGUAACGGAGAAUAAGGGUUCGACUCCGGAGAGGGAGCCUGAGAAACGGCUACCACAUCCAAGGAAG